rnacentral:rRNA from 1 species
GACAGAGGGUGCAAGCGUUGUUCGGAAUUACUGGGCGUAAAGCGCGUGUAGGCGGCCCUGCAAGUCGGAUGUGAAAUCCCACGGCUCAACCGUGGAAGUGCAUUCGAAACUGCAGGGCUAGAGUCCUGGAGAGGAAGGUGGAAUGCUUGGUGUAGAGGUGAAAUUCGUAGAUAUCAAGCGGAACACCGGUGGCGAAGGCGACCUUCUGGACAGUGACUGACGCUGAGACGCGAAAGCGUGGGGAGCAAACAGG